UACGUAGGGUGCAAGCGUUGUCCGGAAUUAUUGGGCGUAAAGAGCUCGUAGGCGGUUCGUCGCGUCGGGUGUGAAAUCCCGAGGCUCAACCUCGGGUCUGCAGUCGAUACGGGCGGACUGGAGUUCGGCAGGGGAGACUGGAAUUCCUGGUGUAGCGGUGAAAUGCGCAGAUAUCAGGAGGAACACCGGUGGCGAAGGCGGGUCUCUGGGCCGAUACUGACGCUGAGGAGCGAAAGCGUGGGGAGCGAACAGG
rnacentral:rRNA from 1 species